AGUUGUCAUUUUGGUAAAUUGGGAAUAUUCCCCCUACUACUUUAUUUACAGACGCUCACUUUAACCUAAUAACCCAUGGUAACGUUAAAAGCAUCUCCAAUAGUGUUUUAUUUUAUACUUCUUGCUUCACUUUUUGUCCCAUUGCUACUUCAAUUUUUUUUUUUUUUUUCACUUUUUGAAGAAUUGAACAGUAUUAGUAUUUCUUCAAAUUUGUCAUCAACUUUACAGGCUCAUAUUGACUAUGUGAACCACACUGAGAGAUCUUGAUUCAUGUGAACUACAAAAGACGUUUUCUUCCUAGCACUGCGGGCUAAGUUAUCCGCAUUCUUGUUCUACGUUCUUGGUACAUAGAUAAACUAUGCUCGGAAAAACUCUCUUUCAGGCUGUUUAUAUCUUCUAAAUAACUUGCAAACGCUGGCUAUUCUUCUGGUUCUGAAACCAUCUUCACCAAUUGAGAACAAUUCGUUGCAAACGUAACCUGAAAUUGUCGUAAGUUUUUCAUGCAUUUCAUUGCCCAUAGUAACGCUUCCAUCUCUGCAUGAAGAGGAGAGAGGGAAGCCCGGACAUUCCUUGCUCCCAUCAAGCCCUCAAAUCCUUCUAAGGUAUUGUACCAUUUUUGACCUGCAAAAAUAUCAUUAUCUUUCCAGGAACCAUCCGUAAAACACUAUCUUCCUGGAAUUGACGGAAGAAUCGUAGCCUCUACCUGUGGAGUCCUCUUUUGGUCAUUCAAUAUUUGUGCCUAAGCCCAGAGUUUUGAUUAUGUUUCUGCCAGUUUAACGGUAUCCAGAGGAUCCACAUCCAGUUUACUAAAGACUUUGUUAUUUCUUCCUUUCCAGAUGUACCAUAGUAUCCAUGCAAACUGAUGAUCCUCCAUCUGUGGAACAACUCUCCAAAAGAGAUGAUUCAUGUUCACAAAGAGAGAGCUUGUUGGGAACAUAGCUAGAUUUGUUGGAAUCUUUGAAAGAGCCCAUACCUGAAGUGCAGGAGGGUAUUCAAAAAAAACAUGGUUGAUCGAUUCCUCCUCAGCUCCACAUCUUGCACAACAGAUGUCUCCGGGUAUCCCUCGCAUAUGCAAAUUUUUCUUAACUGCUAUGCACCCUGUCACCAAUUGCCAUAGAAAAUGCUUAAUUUUCGGUGGACACCGUAUUUUCCAACAAUAUGCCUUCAAAAUAUCCACCGUGGGUCCAAACACUAAUGGUGGUUUUUCCUUAUCUGGGUAUAUCCUUUCAACCUGAUAUCCAGAUUUAACCUUAUAUUUUCCAUUAUUUGUGAAAUGCCAUCCUUCUUGAUCUGCCAUCCGAGUUCUACUCAGUGGUAUACUUUCUAUCAAUUUCACCUCCUCUGGAUUCACAAAGCCCGAAGCGCCAGUGAAUUCCAUCUUCGAAAAUGAGGAUCAAUAAAAGAAUCCACUGUAAGGUCUGGGUAAAGAUUGUGUUGAUUUUUAUUAGCUGGUCUCGGGCGAGUGGUUGGGAGCCAAGGAUCAUUCCAUAUGGAUAUAGAGGAUCCUGUUCUCACCCUUUUGAUUAGUCUUUUGUUUACCAAAGAUCUAGCAGAUACAAUACUCCGCCAGCCAUAUGACGGAAAAUAUGAACGAAUCGGAUUCAGGGGUGAUGCAUUCCUAUAAUGCCGACCUUUAAAAACUCGAGAAAAAUAAAGUAUUUGGCUUCUCUAUCAGCCGCCAUAAUUGUUUACCAAUCAUCGCUGUGUUGAAAUCAGUGAUAUCUUUAAACCCUAAACCUCCAUCGUCCUUACUAAUACAUACUUUAUCCCAUGAUUUCCACUGCAUUCCUUUUGUAUUACCGCCAGGGCUCCACCAAAAUUGUGAUACCGCACUUGUCAGUUUUUUUUGCAGUAGCCUUGGGUAAACGAUAGAAAGACAUCACAUAAUUUGGCAAAGCCGUAAUCACUGAUUUGAUGAUCACUUCCUUUCCUCCUUUCGUAAAGAACUUAAAAGUCCAGCCAUUGAUCCUAUUAUUUAGCCGAUCCUGUAUGAAGACAAAAACUUGUAUCUUAGAACCCCCAAGACUUUCCGGCAGGCCUAGAUAAGUUCCCAUCCCUCCCAAAUUCUGUAUGCCCAAAAUAUCUCUUAGCUCUGACAGAUUCUUCGAUCUUGUGCCCAAAUUGAAUUAAAAACUUAUCAAAGUUUAUUAGUUGACCUGAAGCUAUCUCAUAUUCCUUUAAAAUCCUGAGAAUGGUGUGACACUCUUCCUUUUGAGCUUUACAAAAAAAGAGACUAUCGUCCGCAAAAAGCAAAUGUGAUAUUGAAGGGCAUGCUCUAACCACCUUUAUUCCUGUUAAUUAUUUCUCCCUCUCCGCCUUCUUAAUAUUUGCUAUCAAAGCCUCGGUGCACAGAAUAAAUAAAUAGGGAGAUAAAUGAUCUCCUUGACGUAAACCCCUUUGUGGCACAAUGAGGCCCCGAGGUUGACCAUUUAAAAGGACCCGAUAUUCAAUCGAUGAUAUACACUCCACCAUUAGUUUAAUCCAAUGGUCAUGAAACCCCAUUUUCUGUAGUAAUGCCUUAAUAAACUCUCAUUCUACCCUAUCGUAGGCCUUACUCAUAUCUGUUUUGACUGCCAUAUACUUUCCUUUACACGCCUCAUUAGUCCGUAAUCCCUGAAACAUUUCUUGUGCUAUAAGAAUAUUAUCAGAAAUCAGCCGUCCUGCCACAAAUGUCGAUUGCGUUUCUGAUACGAGAGAGGGUAGCAACAACUUCAAACGUUAACACAAAACCUUCGAAAUAAAUUUAAUACCCUACAUUACAUAAACUAAUAGGUCGCAACUCCGUCAUCCUUGUAGGUUUUUCUAUCUUUGGAAUCAUACACAUAUUAGUAAUAUUUAACCUUGAAUCCAUUUCUCCAGAAACCAAAAAAUCAUUCACCAUCUCCAUCAAAUCUCUCUUAAUAAUAUGCCAUGAGUGUUGAAAAAAAAGAGUUGUCAUGCCAUCCGGUCCUGGUGCCUUCUCUGGAUGUAUUAUAAACAGAGCCUCUGUGGCCUCAUCCUCUGUCGCUAUCCUCAAUAAUCGUUGAUUCAUCUGUGGAGUUAUGCCCGGUGUUACAUCUUUGAAGAAAUACUAUUCACUUUUUCAUUUUUCGAAGAUACACUUUUUAAUUAUAGAUUGGUCCUUUAACUUUAGUUUGUUUUUAUUUAAAGAAACUAUAAGAGCUAAUAUUACCAACUUAAUUUUAAAGUUUUUAUAAAUUAUUUUUAUUCAAUCAAUUUAAAAUAUUAAAUAUACUAAAAACAUAUUUUUUCUUUUUUUUACUAAUAUUUUAGAUGAAACACAAUUAAAUAAAUAAUAUAAAACUGAAAUACAUGAUAAACACCAAACUAAAUAUAUAAAAAAAUUGGUGCAUCAUAAACUAAGACUUAAUAAUCUGGUAAACCACUUCCAGAUCCACUAAGGUUAUUAAAAUAUUGUUCAAAUGAAGUUGCCGCUUGAAAAGGCUCUUGAGCUUGUUGUUGUUCACUCCUUUCUACUAAAAUUCGAUUUUGCUCAUAUUGAAUUUAUGCAUGAAUGUUAGGGUCUUGUAUGGAGUUCAAAUCACGAAAUAAAAUUUUGUUCUCUUCUUUAAAUUUCUUCACAGCAUAAUUCUUGUUUUGAAUCUCCAAAUGUUGUAGUCUUUGUGCGCUUAUUUUCUCUAAUUGCUCCAAUAGUUUUUAUUUCCUUCUUCCAAUUUGUUAAUAACAAAUGAUGUUUGAUCAUCAUUUUUUUCUUUUGAGUUUGACUUUUUUACUCCAAUUGGUUUUUAGAUGAAGAUCCACUCAUUCUAUCUUCUUCAUCAUCUAAAUUCAUAGAAAAUGUAGACAAACCUGGAGAUUCUUGUGUAGCGGAAUCAGAUAUAACAUUUUCCAACUCUGAACUGCAUCCCCAAAACCACAUGAGUUUGAUACUUUUCUCGUGGAUGUGUCACCAUCUUUAAACUUUUCAAAAUUCUUUAUAAUGCUCCAUACAUGAUCGAAUUUCCAACCUCUUUUGUAUUUUGGAUCACCCAAUAACAUAAAUUUGGCUUGUUUAAACUGCAUAUAAUUUAAAAACAGAAAACAUUAUUGCAAAGUAAGUAAAAUAUAUAUUAAACAAAUUAAAAACACUUACUAUGUCAUCAUUUGAAGCACAGCUUGGACAUAUGUUUUCACAUUACUUGACGCAUGGAUGCAAUUUCUUUGUUGCUUUCUCAACAGUUUGAAUUCAACAAUGGAUGUCUUUCUUUCUACGUUCACUCCAACUUGCAUCUUUUCCUUUCUCGUAAGCAGCUGCUACAUGAGACCAAAAUUGGCCGAACGACUGAUAAACACCUUUGAUUGGAUCUUGAGAUAUUUUCAUAUAUACUUGACAUAAAAGCAUAUCUUCUUCAUGAGUAUAUCUAGCAGAACGUAACGGCAUUUUUGUAAAGAAAGUUAAAAUAAAAUGUAGAUGCAAUAGAAAAUAGAAUGAUUCAAUGUUGUGAAUGAAAAUAUAAAACUCAACAUGUUAUUUCGGAUACUAGCUUAUGAUUUUCCCGGUGAUGCAGCUGAUGAAUCAUAAAAAUUGGUGAAUCAACAAAAAAUCGAAAGUGUGAAAAGAUUUUGUCGGACAAUUGUGGAAAUAUUCUCAGAGGAAUACUUACGAUCACCAAUACCUGCCGAUGUUUAAAACUGCUGAAGAUUGGUGAAAAGUGAGACUUUCCGUAAAUGUUGGGUAGCUUAGAUUGCAUGGAAAAAUUGUUUGACCGCUUGGGCUUGACUUUAUGCAGGUCGUUGUGGAUCACCAACUAUAAUUCUUGAAGCUGUUGCGGAUUACGUUCUUUGGAUAUGACAUGCAUAUUUCAGGAUGUCGGGCAGCAAUAAUGAUAUCAAUGUCUUGGAGUCUUCACAUCUUUUCUCCAGUCUUACUCAAGGUAUUCAAGGCAAAGAAUAUAACAUGGGCUAUUAUUUAGCCGAUGGUAUAUAUCCAAAAUGGUCUACCAUAGUGCAAACUAUUCAUGAGCCAGUGUGUUCGAAGAAGAAAUAUUUUGCUACAUAACAAGAAGCAUGUUGGAAAGAUGUGGAACAUGCCUUUGGAGUUCUUCAAUCACGCUUUGCAAUUGAGAAAGGACCAGCUCGUUUUUGGAAAAAAAAUGUGACACAUGACAUAAUGACUACAUCUAUAAUUUUAAAUAACAUGAUAAUUGAAGAUGAGCGUCAUCUUGAUGCUCCAAUUGAAGUUGGUGGAGAAGUUCCACUUCCAGAGGUUGAUAUCGAAGAGCAUGAUGAUAUCCGUUUUCAAGAAUUUUUAGCUUGAUUUAGAAGAAUUAAAGAUCAAGAAGCUCAUUUCACUCUUCGGAACAAUUUAAUUGAACACAUGUGAGAAAAAUAUACAUCUCAUGCUUUUUUAUAAAAUCUAGUGUUCUUGUGUUAUUUAUUUAUGUUAUGUGUACUAACUAUAUUAUAUGGUAAUGUUUAUUUUAUAUUAGUUAGCAAUUGUGAUGAACUAUUGUUAAAAUAAAAUAAUUGGGUAAAAUUAAUAAACAAGCAAAAGUAAAAAGUGUUAUUGAUAAAUAAUGAUAAAACUGAAAAGGAAUGUAUAUGGAAUAUUGUUUUUGGAAGAAAAAAACGAAAUAAAUUAUUGGAGAACAUAUUUCUUCAUUUUUUGAAGAAAUUCAUAUUUUGAAAGAAAAAAAAGUUUACCAUUAGAGAUGCUCUAAGGAAACAUAGCCGAAAAAAUAAAAAGAUAUUAACCAAAAAAUUUGGAAAGCACAAAUUAUGGAGUACCUAUUGAUAGAAGAGGGGUUCUAAGCGAUCACUAGCAAAGAUGUGUCGAAUGCAAUGCAUCAAAUGGUAGAAAUUAAUUGAAAAGAAGUGUGUAUACAGAUAACGGACCUACUAUUGACCACCCUUUGUAACUACUAGUAAUCUCUUACGUGUGAGAGCGUUUUAGUCUAGUGUAAUAAAGGAAUUAAUGUUUCUACAUAGCUCUAUAAGUGACUAAGAGCACGUUUAUAGGCAACUCUUAACCUCAUGCCUUAGGUUAAUUAAUCAAAAAAAAAGAAGAGGAAAACACGGAGUAAAACGAAAGGACGUUCCUUAAUUAAGUGUUUGAAGACGCGUUCCUUGGUGCGACGUGUCAACCUGUAUUGGGUAGAGGAACGGUGAAGUCGUUCUCGUUUCUUUCUCUCUUUUCUUUCUCUUCUCGUUUGCUCCGUAAAGGUGACGAAAAUGGCGAUUGUUUCGCCCUCUCGGUGGAGGUCGUCGACGUCUACAGGGGUUUCUCUCGUCGAUGAUGGACAAAGGCGAUUUCUCUCUCUCGUUGCUCUCCUCGACGAAGGAAACGGCGAUUGCUCUCUCUCGGUGCUCUCCUCGACGAAACGGUGAUUCCUCUCCCUCGCGGUGGCUCUCGUCGAGGAAAGAAGACGGUGAACUCUCAAUCGGUGGCUAUCUCUCUCUCCUGGUGGCUCUCUGAAACGGCGAUUGUUUCUGAAGGGAAUCGAAAGAUGGAUCAAGACGCAUGAUCCAGGAUUGAGCUAGAGGCGUGAAGUGGGCACAAAACCUGUCUCUUUGGCAGACAAAACCGCAAAUCGCAAAGGUUGUUUGAUCAAGAUGCUUGAUCCAGUUGGUGAGACAAAAACGAAG